CCUCUCCCUCUCGCGCUCUCUCAUUUCUCUCGCCCUCCUUCUCGCUCUCUCUCAUUUCUCUCGCCCUCCCUCUCCCUCAUUUCUCUCUCUUCCUACUUCUUGCUCUCUCUCGCCCUCCUUCUCGCUCUCCCUCAUUCUCUCUCUCUCCGUCUCCCUCCUUCUCGCUCUCCCUCAUUUCUCUCUCCCUCCCUCUCCCUCUCCCUCCUUCUCGCUCUCCCUCAUUUCUCUCUCUCUCUAAGAGAGAAGACGAAAAACCCCACAGCUAAUCAUGUUAAGAAGAAACCGGAAUGAACAAAACCUCCGUCGUUAACAUUUUCUCAUGAAGCUUACUGAAUAUUACAAGCGCACUGGCAUUCACUCCGUACAUGUGAAAUAAAUAUUUUCUCAUGGAAAGUUUCACCAUAUCGACGAUGAUAUAUUUUUCUAAUCCAUCUAAAUCACUAGAUUGCGGAGUAUCUUAGAACUCUACGUAGAAAUGAGCAGGUGUCGGACCGAGCACAUGAAUAUAAACCUGUGAUUUGAAUUACAGCCAAUCGACACCUCCAGACCAAUCAGAUUUGAGAAUUCAACAGCACCGCCGAAAUAAAUUUCCCUUCCGAACGUUUCAGUACUUCUCUCGGUAUCGAGUAGAGCUGGGUAAAGUUGAGAAACUUUCAUAGCAGUCUGAUGAUUACAUUUUACAUGAAGGUUCCCUUAACUGACAUUACUUAUUAAAACACUAGGGCUGUGCAUGACCGUAUGGUCCAUGAUAUACCAGUACAAUUGCGGUGGAAGUUCGGCGUUGCGACCCUAGACAAGGAAGGAGAAUUAAUCCCCAGAAAAGGCGCUUCGGUUGGAAUAUCGAAGGGGUUCGGAUACAUCAAAACAGAUGUGAAUCAAACACCUGUGAUUGCUCAAAAACCCACAAAGCAAAGAGUGGAAACACAUCAAAUGUUCCACCACCUCGAGCAAAAACAAAUACACGGAAGGCCAGAAGCUCAGGAGAAAGCGUCAACAAGUAACGUCAAAAAGAUAGUAACUAUUUUCACAUCGUCAUUUAUAUUUAUACAUUACCACAAAACAUGACCAUGAGAUAUCGUGAUAGAGUUUUCAAUCUAUAUCACCCAUCCCUACUUAACACUUUAACUAACAUGAACAAACCAUGAACUUCUGACUAUCGGUCAUUAACGUUUGUAUGAGUCACAUUUAGAUAUUAGUUAGGUAAGUGAAAUGCAGCCCAUAAUGAUCAGUGUGAACACCUGGAGACCAGAGUCCAGCACCUUAGCAACAGUAAUGAAGCUUUUGAUCUCUAACGUACACGGAUGUAUUAGGCAUUGACGGAAUAAACAUUGGCUAAUGUAUGUGGAUUUCACUGACGUUUAAACAAGCAUCAAUUAACACCUUGUUAAAUGAAGCGGUUUAAUAGUGAUGUUUAGGGUGCGUUAUUGUUAAUUAACGCUGUUAGUUACGGGAACCUUCACGUUAAUAAUCGAGUGUAAAUGUGAUGUUAUUCUGUAUGCUACCGGUACUGUACAUGGAGACAAGAAAAAAUGAUCUUAAGACAAUCUUCUUAACAACUGAUCCACAAUCCUCUCUUCUGCGCUGUCCAGUCAUCCUCAUGUCCAAUCAUCUGCAUGUGCAGUCAUCCUCAGAUGUAAUUAUCUCCAUGUCCAAUCAUCCUCAUGUCCAGUCAUCCUCAGAUGUAAUUAUCUUCAUGUCCAGUCAUCUUCAUGUCCAAUCAUCCUCAGAUGUAAUUAUCCUCAUGUCCUGUCAUCCUCAUGUCCAAUCAUCCUCAUGUCGUCAUUCUCAUGUCCAGUCAUUCUCAUAUCCAAUCAUCCUCAUGUCCAAUCUUCCUCAGGUGUAAUCAUCUUCAGCACAUUUUAGCAGUACUCAAUACACACACACACACACACACACACACACACACACACAAAGAGAAUGGCUUCCGGAGUGUGGGCGAGGACAUCGGACUAGUCAAUACAAUCACUGAGUAAAAAUAAAACACGCGCAGCCUUUAUUAGAAACGGCUGUGUAAAGCAGGAAAAGCCUGUACACUCACUGCUAUACAACAACAAAGAUGAACCAUCUCUGAGCACUGCCUUUAGCAGACAACACACACACACACACACACACACACACACACACACACACACACACACACAAGCUCUAUGGCUUUGAACCAUUCGAAUGUGGUUAAAUAUCAUUUACAAAAACAAUUCUCCCAAUGAAGGAGCCAUAAAGAGAAGCACUUAUCCUCAAUCAGUGUUAUUGUUACACUCAUAUGAUACAGUAAUAUCUCUCUCACACACACACACACACACACACACACACACACACACACACACACACACACACGUGAUGCUUUCUACACAGCAUUAAGGUGUCAGCGCAAGAGCAAGUACACGAUAUCAAAGCUAAUUAAUACCCAUUUUUUAUACACACACACACACACACACACACACACACACACCCAGCAGCAUCGCAUCAUUAUUACAAUUGGUACUAUAAGCAAUAAUACUAUUGCUGUGUAAAUGAAUGGCAGGUAAAGAUUUCCAUCUCAGUGGGAAGAAAAAAAAAAAGUCCACCCUGGAACUGAAGCCUGCAGAGAGCAGAGUGUACGUACACACACACACACACACACACACACACACACACACACACACAC
ensembl:lncRNA